UGGAACCGUCUGGAAAGUCGGGCAGCAUGGGUGAUAGCCCCGUACAGGUCAGGGUGAUUGUUGGAUUUGAGUAGGGCGGGACACGUGAAAUCCUGUCUGAACAUGGGGGGACCACCCUCCAAGCCUAAGUACUCCUCAGCGACCGAUAGUGAACCAGUACCGUGAGGGAAAGGUGAAAAGCACCCCGACGAGGGGAGUGAAAUAGUACCUGAAACCGGAUGCUUACAAACAGUCGGAGCCCAAGGUUCGUCCUGGGUGACGGCGUACCUUUUGUAUAAUGGGUCAGCGACUUAAAGUAACGAGCAAGCUUAAGCCGAUAGGUGAAGGCGCAGCGAAAGCGAGUCUGAAUAGGGCGUUUGAGUUCGUUGCUUUAGACCCGAAACCGGGUGAUCUAGCCAUGAGCAGGUUGAAGGUGCGGUAACACGCACUGGAGGACCGAACCGGUGCCUGUUGAAAAAGUCUCGGAUGACUUGUGGCUAGGGGUGAAAGGCCAAUCAAACUCGGAAAUAGCUGGUUCUCCGCGAAAGCUAUUUAGGUAGCGCCUCGCGUGAAUCCCCCAGGGGGUAGAGCACUGGAUGGGCUAGGGCCGCCCACAGCGGUACCAAACCUAACCAAACUCCGAAUACCUGGGAGGACUGCGCGGGAGACACACGGCGGGUGCUAACGUCCGUCGUGGAGAGGGAAACAACCCUGACCUACAGCUAAGGCCCCCAAUUCGUGG
rnacentral:rRNA from 1 species